ACGAUCGGCGCCCAAACCCGCUCAGCGCAACGCUGCCAACUGCCUUCGCGGCCCCACGCCGCCCGCAGGCCGCCGGCCCGGCCACCCCGCCCGGGGCCCAGGAGCCUCCCCCCGCGGCCGCGGAGCGGGCGGGCCUGCACAUGCCCAGCAGCGGCGCCCACCACCGCUGCCCUCUCCGGCCGCCGCCGCCCGCUCCGCGCUGGCCUGCCGGCAUGAAUUACUCUCGAUUCAUCACAAGUGUGAGUGCAGCAAGAAAAGCAUCUCCAAUAAGACUUCUGAGUGAACUGAUGGAGAAGGCUCCUCCAUCUCUCAUCUCUCUGGCUGGAGGAGCACCAAACCCUGACCUUUUUCCAUUUAAGAAAGCUACUGUUGCCAUUGGACAUGGAAGUGCUAUUGAGAUUGGGGAAGAGCUGAUGAAGAGAGCUCUCCAGUACUCAGCCUCAGCAGGGAUUCCGGAGCUGUUGUCUUGGCUAAAGAAUUUCCAGCGAAAUCUACAUAAUCCCCCCACAGCCAGCUACAGCCCUGAGCAAGGACAAAUGGAAGUGUGUAUCACAACCGGCAGCCAGGAAGGCUUGGGUAAGGUGUUUGAAAUGCUCAUUAAUCCUGGGGACAACAUCCUCUUGGAUGCACCAGCAUACUCUGGGACACUAGCAGCUCUGAGACCAUUGGGGUGUAACAUAAUUAAUGUUCCUAGUGACCAACAUGGCAUUAUCCCAAAUGCUCUAAAAGAAAUUCUAUCUACUUGGAGCCCAGAUGAUAGCCGCCACCUUCCCAAAUUCCUGUACACUGUUCCAAAUGGGUGCAACCCAACUGGAAAUUCUCUGACCACAGAGCGCAAGAAGGAGAUUUACCAGCUUGCAAGAAAAUAUGAUUUCCUCAUAAUAGAAGAUGAUCCUUACUACUUUAUUCAGUUUGAAAAGCCAUGGGCUCCAACUUUCCUCUCAAUGGAUGUGGAUGGUCGAGUUAUCAGGACUGACUCUUUCUCUAAAAUUCUCUCAUCUGGAUUAAGAAUAGGUUUUCUGACAGGACCCAAGCCUCUUAUCGACAGAGUUAUUCUACACAUCCAGGUUUCAACAAUGCACACCAGCACUUUCACACAGAUUAUGGUAUUACAGCUGCUUCAGCAAUGGGGAGAAAAGGGUUUCUUCGAGCAUAUAGACAGGUGCCAUACCUGGUUGCCAUUAGAACUCCAAGCUUCUUACUUCAGCAGGGGUGUGCUCUACAGAGACCUAUAAACAGGAACAUGAGCAAAGCAUGGAAAAAGCUCUUACACCUCACUGUACCAGGCACUUCUGUUCCCUGAGCACCUGCCUGUUGUCCAUACGAAAUUCAACCCAAUUGCACAAAUGUUGAGCCUGUGCUUUUGCAUAUGUAGUGGUGGAGUUCUACAGGACCCAGCGGAAUGCAAUGAUCACUGCUGCUGACAAGUGGUUAAAAGACUUGGCAGAAUGGUACCCUCCUGCUGCUGGGAUGUUCUUAUGGAUCAAAAUUAAGGGUAUUUCUGAUACUCAGCAGCUCAUCACAGAAAAAGCUUUGCAGAAAGAAGUGUUACUGGUUCCUGGAGGAGCAUUCAAUAUCAAUACUUCAGAGCCAAGUUCUUAUGUCAGAGCCUCCUUCUCUUUGUCUUCUCCAGCCCAGAUGGAUCUGGCCUUCAAGAGACUGGCUGACCUUAUAAGAGAAGCUUUGUGAAAAAGCUAAAUAGAGAUCUUGCAGCAAUCAAAAUCAUCUCCAGAAAAUAUUUACUAACAUUUACUAACAUUUGUAUUUCAUCAGAACACUUCAAAAGCAAGCACAAGACAGUGGAUGUUUCCUUGGAAUGUUUCAGCCAAAAAAGAAAAAAAAAAAAAAAAAAAAAAAAACAACACAAACCAGUUUGCUUUUUUUGGGGUUUAUUUUGACAGAACAUUGCAUUACUAAGUUUAUUCGAAUUCAGAAGCAUUUAAAAUACUCAAACCCAAAAUGUUCUGUUUCCUGUCAAAUCCAUGGUUUUUUAGAUUUGAAUUGAUUUUUGGUUUGGCUUUUGUUUUCUAUUUGGGUUGGGAAACAGGGAAAUGAGUUAGUUAGGAGGUUGUACCUGAGGUGGUCUUAGCCACUAUUACUUAAUCCCAACUGACACAUUCCUUCAACACCUUAUGUUGGAAUUGUCUUGUGUGUCACUUUCCUUCUUGUCGUGUUGUAUGGCAUCUGGUUUUGAAGAUCUGAAGAUCAGUAUUUAAUUUUAUUAAUGUUUUGUCAGGUAAAACUGAUGUAAGGGUCUCAAAAAAUUGAAACUCAUCCAGCAAAAUUAGGCUAUGAUUACAGCUCAAUCUCUAAAAGGUUUUCUAAUUGCUGGCUUCUAACUUCAGUCUGUGAAUAAUUAUUCUGUACCUGUGUUAGAAAUGUUGUGGUUUGCAGAGCCAUGUGGAUGUGCUAAUAGAACUGCUCCCUGCUCUUGGUUAAUCAAUCAGACGUGCUUUUGAAUGGAGAGCAUGAGUAACUAAACAGGGGACAUAGUGGUAUGGACAACACCCUGACACUGCCAGAUGUACAAAGCAAGCAAAAUUGAAAAAUAAAGAAAUGUUUUCAUCUCUAAUCUCUUGGUCAUUAUCAUCCCAAACAUUUGAUUCUUGGCAACAUGUACAAAACCUUCAGAAAGUUUUAACUGUACAGAUUCUUCAGGGAAAGCCCACAGUCCCAAAGCUGCUCUCAGGGCACCACCAGUAUCCUUGAAGACAAACUUCACCAUCACUGUGUGAUGGUGCUAACGGGAGGUCCAUACUAGCAGUGCCUUCUGUGCAGUGCUGUUUAACAGCAAGUGUUCAUGCUUCAACUUGGUUUCUCAACCACACACAGGAAUUUUGAAAGCUCUGACUUUGCUAAGAAGUAAGGCAAUUUUUAUCUUGGAUUCAAUUUAUUAAAACAUUUUAUAUAACAGAA